GACAGAGGGGGCAAGCGUUGCUCGGAAUUACUGGGCGUAAAGCGUGCGCAGGCGGUUGGUUAAGUCUGAUGUGAAAGCCCCGGGCUCAACCUGGGAAUGGCAUUGGAAACUGGCUAGCUGGAGUGUGGCAGAGGGGGGUGGAAUUCCGCGUGUAGCAGUGAAAUGCGUAGAGAUGCGGAGGAACACCGAUGGCGAAGGCAGCCCCCUGGGCCAACACUGACGCUCAGGCACGAAAGCGUGGGGAGCAAACAGG
rnacentral:rRNA from 1 species